rnacentral:rRNA from 1 species
CCUACGGGGGGCAGCAGUGAGGAAUAUUGGUCAAUGGACGAGAGUCUGAACCAGCCAAGUAGCGUGAAGGAUGACUGCCCUAUGGGUUGUAAACUUCUUUUAUAUGGGAAUAAAACGUUCCACGUGUGGGAUUUUGUAUGUACCAUAUGAAUAAGGAUCGGCUAACUCCGUGCCAGCAGCCGCGGUAAUACGGAGGAUCCGAGCGUUAUCCGGAUUUAUUGGGUUUAAAGGGAGCGUAGGUGGAUUGUUAAGUCAGUUGUGAAAGUUUGCGGCUCAACCGUAAAAUUGCAGUUGAAACUGGCAGUCUUGAGUACAGUAGAGGUGGGCGGAAUUCGUGGUGUAGCGGUGAAAUGCUUAGAUAUCACGAAGAACUCCGAUUGCGAAGGCAGUUCACUGGACUGCAACUGACACUGAGGCUCGAAAGUGUGGGUAUCAAACAGGAUUAGAUACCCGAGUGUC